AACUUUCAACAACGGAUCUCUUGGUUCUGGCAUCGAUGAAGAACGCAGCGAAAUGCGAUAAGUAAUGUGAAUUGCAGAAUUCAGUGAAUCAUCGAAUCUUUGAACGCACAUUGCGCCCCUUGGUAUUCCGAGGGGCAUGCCUGUUCGAGCGUUAUU
rnacentral:rRNA from 1 species